rnacentral:rRNA from 1 species
UAGGGAAUCUUCCACAAUGGACGCAAGUCUGAUGGAGCAACGCCGCGUGAGUGAAGAAGGCUUUCGGGUCGUAAAACUCUGUUAUUGAAGAAGAACGUGUGUGACAGUAACUGGUCAUGCAGUGACGGUAUUCAAUCAGAAAGUCACGGCUAACUACGUGCCAGCAGCCGCGGUAAUACGUAGGUGGCAAGCGUUGUCCGGAUUUAUUGGGCGUAAAGCGAGUGCAGGCGUCUUAUGAUGCUGAUGUGAAAGCCUUCGG